rnacentral:rRNA from 1 species
UACGAAGGGGGCUAGCGUUGCUCGGAAUUAUUGGGCGUAAAGGGUGCGUAGGCGGUUCCGCAAGUCCUGUGUGAAAUCUUCGGGCUCAACUCGAAGUCUGCACGGGAAACUGCGGGGCUUGAGUGUGGGAGAGGUGAGUGGAAUUCCCGGUGUAGCGGUGAAAUGCGUAGAGAUCCGGAGGAACACCCGUGGCGAAGGCGGCCCCCUGGGCCGCGCCUGACGCUGAGACGCGAAAGCGCGGGGAGCGAACGGG